AGCGAGACUGCCGGUAAUAAACCGGAGGAAGUGGGGAUGACGUCAAAUCAUCAUGCCCCUUAUGACCUGGGCUACACACGUGCUACAAUGGUUGGUACGACGAGUUGCGAGUCGGUGACGGCGAGCUAAUCUCUUAAAGCCAAAUCUCGGUUCGGAUUGUAGGCUGCAACUCGCCUACAUGAAGUCGGAAUCGCUAGUAAUCGCGGAUCAGCACGCCGCGGUGAAUACGUUCCCGGGCCUU
rnacentral:rRNA from 1 species